CCUACGGGAGACAGCAGUAGGGAAUCUUUCACAAUGGGCGAAAGCCUGAUGGAGCAACGCCGCGUGCAGGAUGAAGGCCUUCGGGUUGUAAACUGCUUUUAUAAGCGAGAAAUAUGAUGGUAACUUAUGAAUAAGGAUCGGCUAACUACGUGCCAGCAGCCGCGGUCAUACGUAGGAUCCGAGCAUUAUCCGGAGUGACUGGGUGUAAAGAGUUGCGUAGGUGGCAUAAUAAGUAGCUAGUGAAAUCUGGUGGCUCAACCAUUCAGACUAUUAGCUAAACUGUUAAGCUCGAGACCGUUAGGGGUAACUGGAAUUUCUAGUGUAGGAGUGAAAUCCGUAGAUAUUAGAAGGAACACCAAUAGCGUAGGCAGGUUGCUGGGACGGUUCUGACACUAAGGCACGAAAGCGUAGGGAGCAAACGGGAUUGGAUACCCGAGUAGUC
rnacentral:rRNA from 1 species